GAGUUUGAUCCUGGCUCAGAUUGAACGCUGGCGGCAGGCUUAACACAUGCAAGUCGAGCGGGGGAGAUUGCUUCGGUAAUUGACCUAGCGGCGGACGGGUGAGUAAUACUUAGGAAUCUGCCUAUUAAUGGGGGACAACAUCUCGAAAGGGAUGCUAAUACCGCAUACGCCCUACGGGGGAAAGCAGGGGAUCACUUGUGACCUUGCGUUAAUAGAUGAGCCUAAGUCGGAUUAGCUAGUUGGUGGGGUAAAGGCCUACCAAGGCGACGAUCUGUAGCGGGUCUGAGAGGAUGAUCCGCCACACUGGGACUGAGACACGGCCCAGACUCCUACGGGAGGCAGCAGUGGGGAAUAUUGGACAAUGGGGGGAACCCUGAUCCAGCCAUGCCGCGUGUGUGAAGAAGGCCUUAUGGUUGUAAAGCACUUUAAGCGAGGAGGAGGCUCCUGUAGUUAAUACCUACAGAGAGUGGACGUUACUCGCAGAAUAAGCACCGGCUAACUCUGUGCCAGCAGCCGACGG
rnacentral:rRNA from 1 species